rnacentral:rRNA from 1 species
GGAGAGGUAGAUGGAAUUUCUGGUGUAGGGGUAAAAUCCGUAGAGAUCAGAAGGAAUACCGAUUGCGAAGGCGAUCUACUGGAACAUUAUUGACGCUGAGACGCGAAAGCGUGGGGAGCAAACAGGAUUAGAUACCCUGGUAGUCCACGCCCUAAACGAUGUACACUAGUUGUUGCUAUGCUAGACAUAGCAGUAAUGCAGUUAACACAUUAAGUGUACCGCCUGGGGAGUACGGUCGCAAGAUUAAAACUCAAAGGAAUAGACGGGGACCCGCACAAGCGGUGGAGCAUGUGGUUUAAUUCGACGAUACGCGAAGAACCUUACCUGGACUUGACAUAGUAAGAACUUUCUAGAGAUAGAUCGGUGUCUGCUUGCAGAAACUUAUAUACAGGUGCUGCACGGCUGUCGUCAGCUCGUGUCGUGAGAUGUUGGGUUAAGUCCCGCAACGAGCGCAACCCACGUCAUUAGUUGCUAACACUUCGGGUGAGAACUCUAAUGAGACUGCCUGGGCAACCAGGAGGAAGGUGUGGACGACGUCAAGUCAUCAUGGCCCUUACGUCCAGGGCUACACACGUGCUACAAUGGGGCAUACAAAGAGCCGCAAUACCGCGAGGUGGAGCAAAUCUCAAAAAUGCCUCCCAGUUCGGAUUGAUCUCUGCAACUCGAGAUCAUGAAGCUGGAAUCACUAGUAAUCGUAGAUCAGCAAUGCUACGGUGAAUACGUUCCCGGGUCUUGUACUCACCGCCCGUCACACCAUGGGAGUUGAUUUC